rnacentral:rRNA from 1 species
UACAGAGGUCUCAAGCGUUGUUCGGAUUCAUUGGGCGUAAAGGGUGCGUAGGCGGCGCGGUAAGUCGGGUGUGAAAUCUUGGAGCUUAACUCCGAAACUGCAUUCGAUACUGCCGUGCUUGAGGACUGGAGAGGAGACUGGAAUUUACGGUGUAGCGGUGAAAAUGCGUAGAUAUCGUAAGGAAGACCAGUGGCGAAGGCGGCUCACUGGCCCGGUACUGACGCUGAGGCACGAAAAGCGUGGGGGAGCAAACAGG